CCAGACUCCUACGGGAGGCAGCAGUGAGGGAUAUUGGGCAAUGGGGGAAACCCUGACCCAGCGACGCCGCGUGAGGGAAGACGGUCUUCGGAUUGUAAACCUCUGUCUUUGGGGACGAAAAAGGACGGUACCCAAGGAGGAAGCUCCGGCUAACUACGUGCCAGCAGCCGCGGUAAUACGUAUGGUGCAAGCGUUAUCCGGAUUUACUGGGUGUAAAGGGAGCGUAGGCGGCGCGUUAAGUCUGAUGUGAAAACCCGAGGCUCAACCACGGGAGUGCAUUGGAAACUGGCGGGCUGGAGUGCCGGAGAGGUAAGCGGAAUUCCUAGUGUAGCGGUGAAAUGCGUAGAUAUUAGGAGGAACACCAGUGGCGAAGGCGGCUUACUGGACGGCAACUGACGCUGAGGCUCGAAAGCGUGGGGAGCAAACAGGAUUAGAUACCCCAGUA
rnacentral:rRNA from 1 species